GAUGAACGCUGACAGAAUGCUUAACACAUGCAAGUCUUUGGUGAAGCUGUGCUUGCACAGCCUAGCCAAGGCGGACGGGUGAGUAACGCGUAAGGAACUUGCCCUGCAGUCAGGGAUAACAGACGGAAACGACUGAUAAGACCUGGUAAAGUCAGGCGGACUCAUGUCCAGCCUGAUGAAAAGAGAUGCUGCAGGAGAGCCUUGCGUCCUAUUAGCUUGUUGGUGGGGUAACGGCCCACCAAGGCAAUGAUAGGUAGCCGGCCUGAGAGGGUGGACGGCCACAAGGGGACUGAGAGACGGCCCUUACUCCUACGGGAGGCAGCAGUGGGGAAUAUUGGACAAUGGGGGCAACCCUGAUCCAGCAAUUCUGUGUGCACGAUGAAGGUUUUCGGAUUGUAAAGUGCUUUCAGCAGGGAAGAAAAAAAUGACGGUACCUGCAGAAGAAGCGACGGCUAAAUACGUG
rnacentral:rRNA from 1 species